GUAUCCUGGCUCAGGAUGAACGCUAGCUACAGGCUUAACACAUGCAAGUCGAGGGGAAACGGACAUCGAAAGCUUGCUUUUGAUGGGCGUUCGACCGGCGCACGGGUGAGUAACGCGUAUCCAACCUGCCCAUCACUUGGGAAUAACCUUGCGAAGUAAGACUAAUGCCCAAUGAUAUCCCACGAAGGCAUCCGAAUGGGAUUAAAGAUUUAUCGGUGAUUGGAUGGGGAUGCGUCUGAUUAG
rnacentral:rRNA from 1 species